rnacentral:rRNA from 1 species
AGCACCACAACAGGUGGAGCCUGCGGUUUAAUCGGACUCAACGCCGGGAAACUCACCAGAUAAGACAGCUGAAUGGUAUCGGGCUGAAGACUCUACUUGACUAGCUGAGAGGAGGUGCAUGGCCGUCGUCAGUUCGUACUGUGAAGCAUCCUGUUAAGUCAGGCAACGAGCGAGACCCACGCCAACAGUUGCCAGCUCGUCCUCCGGGAUGGUGGGGACACUGUUGGGACCGCCUCUGCUAAAGAGGAGGAAGGAAUGGGCAACGGUAGGUCAGCAUGCCCCGAAUUAUCUGGGCUACACGCGGGCUACAAUGGGUGGGACAAUGGGUAUCGACACCGAAAGGUGAAGGCAAUCUCCUAAACCCAUCCGUAGUUCGGAUUGUGGGCUGCAACUCGCCCACAUGAAGCUGGAAUCUGUAGUAAUCGUGUCUCAAAAUGGCACGGUGAAUAUGUCCCUGCUCCUU